CCUACGGGUGGCUGCAGUGGGGAAUAUUGCACAAUGGGCGCAAGCCUGAUGCAGCCAUGCCGCGUGUGUGAAGAAGGCCUUCGGGUUGUAAAGCACUUUCAGCGGGGAGGAAGGCGGUGAGGUUAAUAACCUUGUCGAUUGACGUUACCCGCAGAAGAAGCACCGGCUAACUCCGUGCCAGCAGCCGCGGUAAUACGGAGGGUGCAAGCGUUAAUCGGAAUUACUGGGCGUAAAGCGCACGCAGGCGGUCUGUCAAGUCGGAUGUGAAAUCCCCGGGCUCAACCUGGGAACUGCAUUCGAAACUGGCAGGCUAGAGUCUUGUAGAGGGGGGUAGAAUUCCAGGUGUAGCGGUGAAAUGCGUAGAGAUCUGGAGGAAUACCGGUGGCGAAGGCGGCCCCCUGGACAAAGACUGACGCUCAGGUGCGAAAGCGUGGGGAGCAAACAGGAUUAGAUACCCGUGUAGUC
rnacentral:rRNA from 1 species